GAGUUUGAUCAUGGCUCAGAUUGAACGCUGGCGGCAGGCCUAACACAUGCAAGUCGGGCGGUAGAGAGAAGCUUGCUUCUCUUGAGAGCGGCGGACGGGUGAGUAAUGCCUAGGAAUCUGCCUGGUAGUGGGGGAUAACGCUCGGAAACGGACGCUAAUACCGCAUACGUCCUACGGGAGAAAGCAGGGGACCUUCGGGCCUUGGCGCUAUCAGAUGAGCCUAGGUCGGAUUAGCUAGUUGGUGAGGUAAUGGCUCACCCAAGGCGACGAUCCGUAACUGGUCUGAGAGGAUGGAUCAGUCACACUGGAACUGAGACACGGGUACCCAGACUCCUACGGGAGGCAGCAGUGGGGAAUAUUGGACAAUGGGCGAAAGCCUGAUCCAGCCAUGCCGCGUGUGUGAGGAAGGGUCUUACGGAUUGUAAAG
rnacentral:rRNA from 1 species